CCUACGGGAGGCUGCAGUGGGGAAUAUUGGGCAAUGGAGGAAACUCUGACCCAGCAACGCCGCGUGAAUGAUGAAGGUCUUCGGAUUGUAAAGUUCUUUUCUAAGGGAAGAAGAAAGUGACGGUACCUUAGGAAUAAGCCUCGGUUAACUACGUGCCAGCAGCCGCGGUAAUACGUAGGAGGCAAGCGUUAUCCGGAAUGACUGGGCGGAAAGGGUGCGUAGGUGGUUUGACAAGUUGGUAGCGUAACUCCGGGGCUCAACCUCGGCACUACUAGCAAAACUGUCUGACUUGAGUGCAGGAGGGGCAAAUGGAAUUCCUAGUGUAGCGGUGGAAUGCUUAGAUAUUAGGAGGAACACCAGUGGCGAAGGCGAUUUGCUAGACUGUAACUGACACGGAGGCACGAAAGCGUGGGGAGCAAACAGGAUUAGAUACCCUGGUAGUC
rnacentral:rRNA from 1 species